UGUACUCGCUCAAGACCAAAUUUCAAAAG
rnacentral:piRNA from 1 species